rnacentral:rRNA from 1 species
UACGGGGGGAGCAAGCGUUGUUCGGAUUUACUGGGCGUAAAGGGCGCGUAGGCGGCCAGCACAAGUCAGUUGUGAAAUCUCCGAGCUUAACUCGGAAAGGUCAACUGAUACUGUGCGGCUAGAGUGCGGAAGGGGCAACUGGAAUUCUUGGUGUAGCGGUGAAAUGCGCAGAUAUCAGGAGGAACACCGGUGGCGAAGGCGGAUCUCUGGGCCUUACCUGACGCUCAGGCACGAAAGCUAGGGGAGCGAACAGG